UCCCGAUUACAUCUCUGCAGAUAUUUUUCUCUCAUCGCUCCCUCCCUCUCUUCCCCUUCAAUCGAAUCUCUCAUGGCCCCUUCCAAUUCCCCUUGAAUCGCAUCUAUCUUCCCCUCUCGGUUCCUGUUUCGAAUCUGUGUAACUGAGAUGUUUAUGGGUGGCAUAGAAUUGAUGGAUUCGACUCUGUGUAAAUCGCCCCUCCCGGCUUCAUUCCUCUCAACGCCACGACGGCGACACCGCAGGCCGAUUCUCUACAUCAGAUACAAUACCUGAUGUUUCGUAGAAACCCUAAAUCAGAUUCAGGCAGAUGCUCUACAUUAUAUCCUCCAUCAAGACAUAAGCUUGAGGAUUCCCCCAAAUUUUAUUUUCACCAUUAUGCCU